rnacentral:lncRNA from 10 species
CCUUGGUUUCCUUAGAAGGGGCCGCAGCCCCGCUUCAGGGUGCAGACUUAGGGCCUCUGGCGGAGAGCAGGGAGGGAGAAGAGGAACAGAAGCCGAGAAUGGAGGCCAGAGAAGGAGAGACACCAAAGGGGCAGGAAGCUGGCCCGUUCUUACUAGUAAUGGUACCUGUGACAUGGACAACAUUUAUUGAGCGCUUGCUGUGUACCGGCUCCACGCCCAGCCUGGGAGACAUACAUCAUCUCAUGUAAUCCUCAUAACUACCUCCUAAAUCAGAUACUGUCAUAUCCGAGUUUAUCCGAGUUUUACAGAUAAGAGAGCUGAGGUGCAAGGAUUGUGGUUUGCCUGAGGUCACACAGUCAGAAGGGGUGCCUCACGUCUUUGCUGGCACACAGUAAGCACCCAACAAUUAUGUGAUGAAUGAAUGACAAGGUUGGCAGUGUCUGGAAAAGGCAGAGACACAAAGAGCCCUGGCCUCACCCCCUGGCCACCCACAGCCUGGGGAUGUUUGGGAAUUGGGAGCUCCCAGCCUUCAGGGAAACUGCCUGGGAGAUCUGCAGAGGCGGGUGUCAGUGCUGACACCUCACCCACUUGGGGCAGUGUAGGGGAUGCCAGUCACUAGGGUCAGGGGCUCAAGGGAUGGGACAUGUUUCUUUCCAGCAGCCCCAACAGAACUGUAGCUCCCUCAGGGCUCUCUGCCUGCAGCCCCAGGUCCCUCCAAAGCCCAGGGCAAUGUGAAGGGCUGACGGUGCCCCAUGGGAGUGGGAAGAGGAGGCACUGGGGCCUUCCCCCGCCACCCAGCUCUCACCAGCCAUGCCUGAGGGUCAGAAAGGCUCUGACUUUCAAAGAGCAUUCUCUGGGCUGUGGGGGUCAUGCCCCAGCUGACCAAACGUCUCUCCUCACGGGAGAUGUCGUCAGAGACCACACACUCCAGCCCACAACCACCGGCAGGUGAUGGGCAUGGGAGAAGUGGACAGGUGUGCCUUGCGUGGGGCAUUAGGGGCCGUGGGGCCUGUGGCAAAGCCUGCUGUCGACAGGACAGUCACUGCACACUGUGGCCUGUGAGUGCCAUAUGGGCCGAGAUGGUCAGGCCUGAGCUUUUCAAGAGAAAUACGAAUUCCAGGCUGGGCACGGUGAAUCACCCUUCUAAUCCCAGCACUUUGGGAGGCCAAGGUGGGUGGAUUACCUGAGGUCAGGAGUGCAAGACCAACCUGGCCAACAAGGUGAAACCCCAUCUCUACU